GACGAACGCUGGCGGCGUGCCUAAUACAUGCAAGUAGAACGCUGAAGGAGGAGCUUGCUUCUCUGGAUGAGUUGCGAACGGGUGAGUAACGCGUAGGUAACCUGCCUGGUAGCGGGGGAUAACUAUUGGAAACGAUAGCUAAUACCGCAUAAGAGUAGAUGUUGCAUGACAUUUGCUUAAAAGGUGCAAUUGCAUCACUACCAGAUGGACCUGCGUUGUAUUAGCUAGUUGGUGGGGUAACGGCUUACCAAGGCGACGAUACAUAGCCGACCUGAGAGGGUGAUCGGCCACACUGGGACUGAGACACGGCCCAGACUCCUACGGGAGGCAGCAGUAGGGAAUCUUCGGCAAUGGACGGAAGUCUGACCGAGCAACGCCGCGUGAGUGAAGAAGGGUUUCGGAUCGUAAAGCUCUGUUGUAGGAGAAGAACGAGUGUGAGAGUGGAAAGUUCACACUGUGACGGUAUCUUACCAGAAAGGGACGGCUAACUACGUG
rnacentral:rRNA from 1 species